ACAAAGCACUAUGACCAGCAUGACUGUUCACCACGGAGUACUAUACUGUUGUCGAUCAUUUCAACUAUCGGCACUGCUCAACAAGGUAUGUUCAUAAGUAAUCUUAGUAUAGAUAAGCAGUUUACUGUGCAAAUACAGAGUGCUUCAAUAUGGGCAAAUUCGUAAACUUCAUUCCAAUCUCCUUGAGUAUUGUUACAAUGGAGAAUGUAGAUUGGUCUAUUACUCAGCGAGUCAGUGGAGUCUGGAUAUGACAAGGGCUGUGUGUGCACGACUGGGUUACCGAGAUUUUUUUGGUAGUUAUAAUAAUUAUACAGCGUGUAUGAAGUAUACACAGUCUGCAUAUUUCUAAUAGUAACACUGAAAGGGUCACGUCAGAGUGGUGCAGGAACAUUUAUCACUCUGAGUGAAUGCAACGAACCAGGACUAACAGGAUGCAUAUAGUGAUGCCCAGUGACGACAACUAUACUGAGUGCUCUCUUGUGUUUCUACGGUGUAUCGAAGCUAACUGUGCUGAUGGAGAGAUAAGACUGGUGAGAGGAUCCACUGACAGAGAGGGACGAGUGGAGGUGUGUGUAGGAAGUCCCCCAACUUUAUGGAGGACAGUUUGCACUGGCAGUCAAGAACUAGCAGGAGCCGUUUGUUCACAAAUGGGAUACACCUUUGAAGAGAGCACUGUGGCCAACUGAUUUCCUCCUGGAGCAUUUCCAGAGUACAGACUGGACUUUACACAACUAAGUAAUGGAACAUGGCACUAUAGUCCAGUUGAACAAGAAUGUGACAGCUUUGUGGAGCUUGGAGUUGUUUGUAAGAACUAUGAAGAUUUAUACAAUGAACGCUUGAAGGACUGUGCUCUGUUAACCAACAUGCAAGUCACUACACAUAUGCCUAUAUAGCUACUAGUUUAGAAGGUAUAUAGAGUUUAUCUUCGUACCAAAGCACCAAUUGCUAGAUAUCCAU